CUGCUUCAGCUGUAAAUAGGCCCAAACUGGACCAAUACAGAGAAGAUUAGUAUGGCCCCUGUGCAAAGAUGACAUGCACAUUUGUGAAGCAUUUCAUAUUUUU
ensembl:snRNA U6 U6 spliceosomal RNA